rnacentral:lncRNA from 1 species
CUCCGUGUAGCUUUGGAGUGUAUCCUGGCACUUGCUCUGGAGACCAGGCUGGCCUCGAACUCACAGAGAUCCACCUGCCUCUGCCUCCCGAGUGUUGGGAUUAAAGCUGACUGGCAAAGAUCUUGGUGAAGACAGGACUGUGUGCAUUUGCUAAAAGGACAGUGGUAUCAAGAGAUGGAGGACUGUGUCUUCUGUCACCUUGAACUUUUAAGAACAAGGACAGGAUUUCUCUGUGUAAUGGCUCGGGCUGUCUUGGAACACACUCUGUAGACCACACGUGCCUCAAACUCAGAGAUCUACCUGCUUCUGCCUUCCAAGUGCUGGGAUUAAAGUCAUGUACCACACCACAUCUGGCUUUCUUUUCUUUUCUUUUUUACUGUCUUUUUUUUUUUUUUUUUU